AAUAAAAAGUAAGUAACAAUGUUUGCCGAGCAACUCAGAGAGCAGCUGGAGACUGUUACAUGCUGAGUGCAAGCACAAGGUCCAUCAUCCAACAGUGCAUGUUUCACGAGAGACAAGGAGUAGAGAGCGAGCGGCCGAUUAAAUAAAGAAGGGAAAACGUGACGCAGGCCGAGCCUGCGCCCCGGAGACGUUUCUGAUUGAAGCCUUCCCCCCCGGGGACGCAGCGACGCUCGCUCUGCUUCCUGCGGCCCAAGGAAAAUAUAGAGACAGGAUAUGACAUCAUGGAAAAUAACCACCCCAACGGAAGUUACGUCACAGUGGAGGUCAGGGGUCACGAUGAGCCGAGGGAACUUGUCGAAGUGUGAACACGUGCUUCUGGCUUUCACAGUUGAAAGAGUCUAGCAAUGAGGAAUCAGGAUGUCCUCCCCACGACGGCACUUCUCUUUCCGCACAUCUCACAUAAGGCGUGCAUCCUCACUGCCGAAGAUCUCUGCGAGCCCCGAGGAAUUCCAAGUAUCCGAGAUUCAUCACCUCCUCUACUGCCACACAGUCAUUUGCAAACACUCCCCGUGGGAAAUCAUUCACAUGCUAUUUUGUCAGUAAUCCACUUUCUUCCAUAAUGGCUCAGGGACGAUAGGCUGUUUUAUUUUCUAUUGAUGCGCGACGCAGCAUUUUAUCCCGGACGUUCUUUGUCUAACUUGUGAUUUUCCUUCAAAACCUCAUCUGCAGUGUCACAACGCCAUCACGACGAGGGAGUGUGUGACCGGCGCCGCCUCAGUUCUGCUGCUCUGUGGCCACGGGUCAAGUUCUCGCUCCUCUCUGAGGAGUCAUUUGCAGCGAAAGCGAAACAAACUCAAAUAACUUGGGUAGAAAAGUUAUUUGAGUAGAAAUGUUCUCAGUGAAGCAGACGAGUCCUCGUUUGACUUUGUCCUCCAUAUAUAUAUAUAUAUAUAUAUAUAUCACAACCAACAAAUACGCAGUGGAAAGCCACCACCAACAGGAAGACAACUUUUUUCCCUUUCCUCUCAUGUCCAGCAUGACAUGACAGGGUGUGUGUGUGUGUGUGUGUGUGUGUGUGUGUGUGUGUGAAUUCCUCUCUGUGACCGAAAAUAGAACAUCUGUUUCCCAUAGUUCACUAAACCAACGCAUGUGCAGCCUAUAGGCCCGAGACUUCCCUCUGAAAAAGGAUCCGUGUCAGCUGAGUGUCUCACGUCCUGCAGCCCACUGAGAUCUGCAUUUCAAUGGAACGACCUGUGACCUCUUCAUAUAGAAAGACCCAUGAGAGAAUGACCAGAGAGCGCGGCCCCCGGCCAGCUGUCCCCUCGGCACGGGCACUGACGCGUCCGUCCGCCAGCAGCCGGUCGACUUGUAUGUUAUAAUACAGAGAUUGAAGCUUUCACACGGGAGAUGGAGAGUGAAGUCGGAGGCAAACUGUCCCUCCAAUCGACUGGGCCCAGCACCACCAGGGCUUUAAUCAACUUUCUUGACCACCAGCCAGCGUGGCUAGUAGAUUUUUUUUUAAAGUUACCAGCCAAUCAGAUUUCCACUAGCCAAAUUCCUUCCAGGGAAAAUAAACCAGAUUAUGAGACACAUUUAAGCAUCCAUGUCUCUUUAAAUUGCUUUUAUUAGCGUUGAUGGCAGAUAAACAUUAAAAUGGUAAAAAUAUA